GUAGGAAAACGCCUCAAGAGUGACAGCAUUAUUCAAGUACGUGGCCCAUCGCGCUCGCAUGUGCUCCAGGGAAUGAACGCACUGGGUAACCGCUGCCGCUCCGUGAUUGUGCUCGUGAACACCUCGCUCUACACGAGCCCGCUGCUGAAUGAGGGAUGUGGGUACCAUUGCGGCUGCGUAGUCGUUUCCUCCGACCUCGCACCACUAGCAAGGGGCAUCGUCCGUCAUGCGGAGCACUUCUGCGAAGAGAACAACAUCAGCUACCGAAUCGUAACGAUAUCUGAGAAGGCGACCGAGAUCGGUGAGAUGAUGACCAGCGCCCCCGCGGAGGAGUGGCUUACUUCUCCACUCACCCUUAUCGACUGCACUCCAGCGGUGGACGAGGAGGUGCGUGUGGCCUCCCUGCUGGCGUGGCUUUAUGGGGCGUACUCGUCCGCGGCAUCCAGGGAAGGGAGCGCGACCGAAGCGCCGUACACGCUGGUGGCUGUCCUGGACGCAGCGCGACAAGUGCCGUGCCCGCCGCCUAUUACUGCAAGCUCCUCCGCGGGCGGUGAUACACUUGCGUGGCUACGACCGACGCCGAGUUACUACUCGGAGCUAAUGGAAUCCGUCGGCUCUUCAGCAGACAGCUGCGUUGUUUUUCCGGUGCACAUGUACUCGCGCUACCCUGCUCUGCGUGACUGUGGGCUGCGGGAAAGGUGUACUGACGGCGGCGCGACUGCCCCGGUACCGCUGGCCGCGUGGCCAAACAAGUGCACCCUGAGCGCGUUGCUUCGGGAGCUGGCAUUCAAGGCGGGGCAGCUAGCCAAGUACGGCGCUUAGCGUGUGCACGUGGCGGCGGUCCGGUCGUGAGUGCUUCGCUGGUGACAACUGCGAGUGAGUGGGCUAUGGUUUCAGGCCGCCGGCCAAGUACACGUGACUGACCGUACAGCCCUCAGUCGACGGCACCCCACAGCCCCCUUCCCACUUUUGUGGCACUCCUUAAGUGAGGUGGGGGUGAAGUGCCGUCGUUGUACAUCACGUGGGCAAGGUCAACGUGCACGCAUCGGAGAACGGGGCGUUUUUUUUUGCCGAUUCUCCCUAUCCGCCGAUACGCCCUGACGCUUCCACUGCUUCGGUUGGUGUGGCGGUACUGCCUUAUCGCUCCCUCUCCCUCUGGCUCUCCCUCUGUUCUUUGACAUCCAACGUCCGGCACCACUCGCGGCACGUCACCUAUGCAACCGCAAG
rnacentral:misc_RNA from 1 species